GUACUCUCCAGUGGGAACUUGGUAGCGAGAGACCUGGAAUGAGAGAUGGCAGGUUUCAGAGCUCCCAGGGGCGUCUGCCCACCGCGUUGGCUCAGCUCUGCUGGGAACGGCUCACGCUGACAGGAGGCCUCGGAUUUGCCACAAGGCGAGGUGAAACGAUUUCUCCAAACACUGAAUUUGGCACCAGCUUUUCAUCUAAACCGGAGCCACUUUACACCUGUCUGGCAAGAUAAAGGGACUUAAAACAAGCACGAAUGCAAUGUUCUGUUGGGCCGUUUUAUUUUGCAGGCACGGUGCUGUGCCCCGGGUGGGCCAUCUGAAGAGGAACAGACCGAAACUAACCCCGGGGGAUGAGCCUGCGUGCUUUCUGGGACCUGUACUCGUACCACCAGAGAUGUUUUUUGCCACUUUCCUCUCCUUUUGCAGUAAGAAGCCUCUAAGUGAUGCCCUUGGGGUAUCACAAGUGCUCUCACUUCCCUCUCCAUCCCGCUACACCGGGAGGGAGCUUUUGGCUGCGAGAUGCUGGGGGGCACCGCCGAUGGAUGGGGCUGCGUUGGGGGGACCGGGGCAGCGCUGGGGGACCUCGGGGGGGGGGUCUUUAAGCGGAGGGCGACCGUGCCGGGCCCACCGCGGUGCCCCCCGGCCCCCGGGGCCCUCUCGCCUCAGGCCGGGCCCGCCAGGGGGCGCCGCCGCCUCCCCCCGCCCUUCCCGCUCCCCCUCCCCUGGCAGCCGUCGCCAUGGCGACCGCUGGGUGCGUAGCGGCCCUUACGAAGCUGACGCAGUGGGCGGCCCGGCACGGGCGGGGGCGGCCCCGGCACGGGCGGAGGCGGCGUUGGAGAAUCGGGGGGGGGGGGGGGGGGGCGGGGGCCCCGAGCCGGCGGGGGGGGGGGGGGGCGGGGGGGGGGGGGGGGGGGCCCCGGGGGGGGGGGGGGGGGGGGGGGGGGGGGGGGGGGGGGGGGGGGCCGCGAGGCCCCGGGAUGGAGGCGGCGGCGGCGGCCCCGGGCCUGAGGCGCUGGCGGCGGCGGCGGCGGCAGAGAGGUGAGGGAGGGAGGGAGGGAGGCGGCGCCCCCCGAGGCCUGUGCCGGCGGCCAGGAGGCCCCGCGGCAGGUGCAGCGGGGCUGCUGCGGCCGCAGCCCGGCCCCCGGGU
rnacentral:lncRNA from 1 species